rnacentral:ncRNA from 1 species
AAAGCAAUCAUGAGGUACUCGGAAGGAAACCAUGAUCUAUUUCUGGCACCGGGGGGUGAUGGAAAAGGAGAAAAAAUGGAGGUACAAACUGUGUGCAGUAUCUGCUCUGAGCUGUAAACAUCAAUGCGGAAUUUUUGGCAGAUGGCAUGUUUCUAUUUUGUUGGUUUUCAGAACUGAGGCCAUAAUUAAGAGGGAUGCUUGGGGGCAUUCGUAUUGUGUCACUAAAGUUGAAAUUCUUGACUGGUUCAAGACGGACCAGAGGAAAAGCAUUUGCCAAGAAUGUUUUCAUUAAUCAAGAAAGCCAGUCGGCGUUUCAAGGAUGAUCAGACACUGUCGUAAUUCCCACCAUAAAUGAUGCUGACUGUGGAUGCAGUGGCGUUAUUCCCUUGAUCCCCAGACAGCUUCCAGGAAACUUAUGUCUUUGGGUUCUGGAGGGAAUAUGGUUGCAAAGCAGAAACUUCAAGUAAUUGGUGGAAGGGCACCACUAGGAGUGGAGCCUAUGGCUUAAUUUGACUCAACAUGGGAAACAUCACCCAGUCCGGAUAUGGACAGGAUUGACAGUUUAAUUUUAAUUGACAGUUUCUCAAUUCCGUGGGUGAUGGUGCAUGGCGGUUCUUAGUUGGUGGAUCGAUUUGUCUGGUUAGUUCUGAUAAGGAAGGAGACUCUGGCAUGCUAACUAGUUAAGCCACCCUGAGCUGUCAGCAUCCCCCAACUUCUUAGAGGGACAAGUGGCAUUCAACCACCCGAUAGAGAAAUAACAGGUCUGUGAUGGCCUUAGAUGUCUGGACUGAACACACACUACACUGGCUGGCUCAGAAUGUGCCUACUAUAUGCUGGCAGGCCUGGGUAACCCGUUGAUGGGGACUGGGGAUUAGCUGUUACCGGUUCUCACUGUGGUCUGGGCUGGGACAUCCCCUUUGUCGCCCAUUGUGCUCACCCCACUCCUGGCUUGCCCAGUGCAUCACUA